UGACNAACACGACGCCCGUNCUUANGCCUUUAGCAUUUACCGUGUGGUUCUAUAGAGANCUCACACUGGACCGCUCGUNUUGACAGCUUAACACAUGCAAGUCGAGCGGGGAAGGGUAGCUUGCUACCUGACCUAGCGGCGGACGGGUGAGUAAUGCUUAGGAAUCUGCCUAUUAGUGGGGGACAACAUCUCGAAAGGGAUGCUAAUACCGCAUACGUCCUACGGGAGAAAGCAGGGGAUCUUCGGACCUUGCGCUAAUAGAUGAGCCUAAGUCGGAUUAGCUAGUUGGUGGGGUAAAGGCCUACCAAGGCGACGAUCUGUAGCGGGUCUGAGAGGAUGAUCCGCCACACUGGGACUGAGACACGGCCCAGACUCCUACGGGAGGCAGCAGUGGGGAAUAUUGGACAAUGGGGGGAACCCUGAUCCAGCCAUGCCGCGUGUGUGAAGAAGGCCUUAUGGUUGUAAAGCACUUUAGGCGAGGAGGAGGCUACUUUAGUUAAUACCUAGAGAUAGUGGACGUUACUCGCAGAAUAAGCACCGGCUAACUCUGUGCCAGCAGCCGCGGUAAUACAGCAGGGUGCAAGCGUUAAUUCGGAUUUACUGGGCGUAAAGCGCGCGUAGGCGGCUAANUUAAAGUCCACAUGUGGAAUCCCGAGCUUAACUUUGGGGAAAUUGCGAUUCCGAUACUGGGUUAGCUAAAAUNUUGGACAAGGAUUGGUCAGNAAUUCCCAGGUGUAAACCGGUGAAAUGCGUUAAGANCNGGAGGGANACCGAUGCCNAGNCGCNNUUGGCUAAACAUUACCUAGUGCGAAGCUUGGACCAACCGGNUAAAACUGGUNCNCGACCGAAGAGUUAAACGGAGACUAANCGUGNUUAUGGNCCANCAAAAACCCUGGGAAGGGCAGCAAACAG
rnacentral:rRNA from 1 species